GUGGGGAAUUUUGGACAAUGGGCGCAAGCCUGAUCCAGCAAUGCCGCGUGCAGGAAGAAGGCCUUCGGGUUGUAAACUGCUUUUGUACGGAACGAAACGGUCCUGGUUAAUACCUGGGGCUAAUGACGGUACCGUAAGAAUAAGCACCGGCUAACUACGUGCCAGCAGCCGCGGUAAUACGUAGGGUGCGAGCGUUAAUCGGAAUUACUGGGCGUAAAGCGUGCGCAGGCGGUGCUGUAAGACAGGCGUGAAAUCCCCGGGCUCAACCUGGGAAUUGCGCUUGUGACUGCAGUGCUGGAGUACGGCAGAGGGGGAUGGAAUUGCGCGUGUAGCAGUGAAAUGCGUAGAUAUGCGGAGGAACACCGAUGGCGAAGGCAGUCCCCUGGGCCUGUACUGACGCUCAUGCACGAAAGCGUGGGGAGCAAACAGGAUUAGAAACCCCGGUAGUCC
rnacentral:rRNA from 1 species